rnacentral:rRNA from 1 species
GGGUUGUGAGGUUAAGCGAACAAGCGUACACGGUGGAUGCCCUGGCAGUCAGAGGCGAUGAAGGACGUGCUAAUCUGCGAAAAGCGCCGGUAAGGUGAUAUGAACCGUUAUAACCGGCGAUGUCCGAAUGGGGAAACCCGGUGCACUUCGGUGCAUCAUCGUUAGCUGAAUACAUAGGCUAACGAGGCGAACCGGGGGAACUGAAACAUCUAAGUACCCCGAGGAAAAGAAAUCAACCGAGAUUCCCCCAGUAGCGGCGAGCGAACGGGGAACAGCCCAGAGCCUGAAUCAGCUUGUGUGUCAGUGGAACGGUCUGGAAAGGCCGGCGAUACAGGGUGACAGCCCCGUACACGAAGGCACACAGGCUGUGAGCUCGAUGAGUAGGGCGGGACACGUGAUAUCCUGUCUGAAGAUGGGGGGACCAUCCUCCAAGGCUAAAUACUCCUGACUGACCGAUAGUGAACCAGUACCGUGAGGGAAAGGCGAAAAGAACCCCGGCGAGGGGAGUGAAACAGAACCUGAAACCGUGUACGUACAAGCAGUGGGAGCCUUCGUAAGAGGGUGACUGCGUACCUUUUGUAUAAUGGGUCAGCGACUUAUAUUCUGUAGCAAGGUUAACCGUAUAGGGGAGCCGAAGGGAAACCGAGUCUUAAUUGGGCGUUAAGUUGCAGGGUAUAGACCCGAAACCCGGUGAUCUAGCCAUGGGCAGGUUGAAGGUUGGGUAACACUAACUGGAGGACCGAACCGACUAAUGUUGAAAAAUUAGCGGAUGACCUGUGGCUGGGGGUGAAAGGCCAAUCAAACCGGGAGAUAGCUGGUUCUCCCCGAAAGCUAUUUAGGUAGCGCCUCGUGAACUCAUCUCCGGGGGUAGAGCACUGUUUCGGCUAGGGGGCCAUCCCGGCUUACCAACCCGAUGCAAACUGCGAAUACCGGAGAAUGUUAUCACGGGAGACACACGGCGGGUGCUAACGUCCGUCGUGAAGAGGGAAACAACCCAGACCGCCAGCUAAGGUCCCAAAGUCAUGGUUAAGUGGGAAACGAUGUGGGAAGGCCCAGACAGCCAGGAUGUUGGCUUAGAAGCAGCCAUCAUUUAAAGAAAGCGUAAUAGCUCACUGGUCGAGUCGGCCUGCGCGGAAGAUGUAACGGGGCUAAACCAUGCACCGAAGCUGCGGCAGCGACACUGUGUGUUGUUGGGUAGGGGAGCGUUCUGUAAGCCUGCGAAGGUGUGCUGUGAGGCAUGCUGGAGGUAUCAGAAGUGCGAAUGCUGACAUAAGUAACGAUAAAGCGGGUGAAAAGCCCGCUCGCCGGAAGACCAAGGGUUCCUGUCCAACGUUAAUCGGGGCAGGGUGAGUCGACCCCUAAGGCGAGGCCGAAAGGCGUAGUCGAUGGGAAACAGGUUAAUAUUCCUGUACUUGGUGUUACUGCGAAGGGGGGACGGAGAAGGCUAUGUCGGCCGGGCGACGGUUGUCCCGGUUUAAGCGUGUAGGCUGACUUUCCAGGCAAAUCCGGAAAGUUAAGGCUGAGGCGUGAUGACGAGGCACCACGGUGCUGAAGUGACAAAUGCCCUGCUUCCAGGAAAAGCCUCUAAGCAUCAGGUAACAUCAAAUCGUACCCCAAACCGACACAGGUGGUCAGGUAGAGAAUACCAAGGCGCUUGAGAGAACUCGGGUGAAGGAACUAGGCAAAAUGGUGCCGUAACUUCGGGAGAAGGCACGCUGACAUGUAGGUGAAGCCCCUGCGGGUGGAGCUGAAGUCAGUCGAAGAUACCAGCUGGCUGCAACUGUUUAUUAAAAACACAGCACUGUGCAAACACGAAAGUGGACGUAUACGGUGUGACGCCUGCCCGGUGCCGGAAGGUUAAUUGAUGGGGUUAUCGCAAGAGAAGCUCCUGAUCGAAGCCCCGGUAAACGGCGGCCGUAACUAUAACGGUCCUAAGGUAGCGAAAUUCCUUGUCGGGUAAGUUCCGACCUGCACGAAUGGCGUAAUGAUGGCCAGGCUGUCUCCACCCGAGACUCAGUGAAAUUGAACUCGCUGUGAAGAUGCAGUGUACCCGCGGCAAGACGGAAAGACCCCGUGAACCUUUACUACAGCUUGACACUGAACAUUGAGCCUUGAUGUGUAGGAUAGGUGGGAGGCUUUGAAGCGUGGACGCCAGUCUGCGUGGAGCCGACCUUGAAAUACCACCCUUUAAUGUUUGAUGUUCUAACCUGGCGCCGUGAUCCGGCGUGGGGACAGUGUCUGGUGGGUAGUUUGACUGGGGCGGUCUCCUCCCAAAGUGUAACGGAGGAGCACGAAGGUCAGCUAAUCCUGGUCGGACAUCAGGAGGUUAGUGCAAUGGCAUAAGCUGGCUUGACUGCGAGAGUGACGGCUCGAGCAGGUGCGAAAGCAGGUCAUAGUGAUCCGGUGGUUCUGUAUGGAAGGGCCAUCGCUCAACGGAUAAAAGGUACUCCGGGGAUAACAGGCUGAUACCGCCCAAGAGUUCAUAUCGACGGCGGUGUUUGGCACCUCGAUGUCGGCUCAUCACAUCCUGGGGCUGAAGUAGGUCCCAAGGGUAUGGCUGUUCGCCAUUUAAAGUGGUACGCGAGCUGGGUUUAGAACGUCGUGAGACAGUUCGGUCCCUAUCUGCCGUGGGCGCUGGAGAAUUGAGGGGGGCUGCUCCCAGUACGAGAGGACCGGAGUGGACGCAUCACUGGUGUUCGGGUUGUCAUGCCAAUGGCACUGCCCGGUAGCUAAAUGCGGAAGAGAUAAGUGCUGAAAGCAUCUAAGCACGAAACUUGCCCCGAGAUGAGUUCUCCCUGAGACUGUAAGUCUCCUGAAGGAACGUUGAAGACGACGACGUUGAUAGGCCGGGUGUGUAAGCGCAGCGAUGCGUUGAGCUAACCGGUACUAAUGAACCGUGAGGCUUAACCUUACAACGCCAAAGAAGU